rnacentral:rRNA from 1 species
CCUACGGGAGGCAGCAGUGAGGAAUAUUGGUCAAUGGCCGGGAGGCUGAACCAGCCAAGUCGCGUGAAGGAAGACGGCCCUACGGGUUGUAAACCUCUUUUGUCAAGGAACAAAGUGAGGCUCGGGAGCCUCUGUGAGAGUACCUGAAGAAAAAGCAUCGGCUAACUCCGUGCCAGCAGCCGCGGUAAUACGGAGGAUGCGAGCGUUAUCCGGAUUUAUUGGGUUUAAAGGGGGCGCAGGCGGGUGUUAAAGUCAGCGGUAAAAUAGCGGGGCUCAACCCCGGUUAGCCGUUGAAACUGGGUGCCUUGAGUGCGCGAAGGGUAGGCGGAAUGCGUGGUGUAGCGGUGAAAUGCUUAGAUAUCACGCAGAACUCCGAUUGCGAAGGCAGCCUACCGGCGUGCAACUGACGCUGAUGCACGAAAGCGUGGGUAUCGAACAGGAUUAGAUACCCUUGUAGUC